rnacentral:rRNA from 1 species
UACGAAGGGGGCUAGCGUUGCUCGGAAUCACUGGGCGUAAAGCGCACGUAGGCGGCUUCUUAAGUCGGGGGUGAAAUCCUGGAGCUCAACUCCAGAACUGCCUUCGAUACUGAGAAGCUCGAGUCCGGGAGAGGUGAGUGGAACUGCGAGUGUAGAGGUGAAAUUCGUAGAUAUUCGCAAGAACACCAGUGGCGAAGGCGAGUCUCUGGACAUUUCCUGACGCUGAGGCACGAAAGCCAGGGGAGCAAACGGG